AGAGUUUGAUCCUGGCUCAGGACGAACGCUGGCGGCGGGCCUAACACAUGCAAGUCGAACGAGAAUCUCAGCUUCGGCUGGGAGGACAGUGGCGCACGGGUGCGUAACGCGUAGACAACCUACCUUCGAGUGGGGGACAACUCCGGGAAACCGGGGCUAAUACCGCAUGAGGUCUCAAUAUCGCAUGGUAAUGAGAUGAAAGCCUUCGGGUGCUCGAAGAUGGGUCUGCGUCGGAUUAGCUUGUUGGUGAGGUAAAAGCUCACCAAGGCAACGAUCCGUAGCUGGUCUGAGAGGAUGAUCAGCCACACUGGCACUGAGACACGGGCCAGACUCCUACGGGAGGCAGCAGUGAGGAAUAUUGCGCAAUGGGCGAAAGCCUGACGCAGCCACGCCGCGUGAAGGAUGACACCCCUAUGGGGCGUAAACUUCUUUUAUGUGAGAAGAAGGCUUCCUUAGAGGAAGAUUGACGGUAUCACAUGAAUAAGCACCGGCUAACUCCGUGCCAGCAGCCGCGGUAAUACGGAGGGUGCAAGCGUUGUCCGGAAUUACUGGGUGUAAAGGGUGUGUAGGCGGGACUGUUAGUCAGAGGUGAAAGCCUACGGCUUAACCGUAGAAUUGCCUUUGAUACUACAGUUCUUGAGUCCCGGGAGG
rnacentral:rRNA from 1 species